rnacentral:rRNA from 1 species
UACGAAGGGGGCUAGCGUUGCUCGGAAUCACUGGGCGUAAAGGGUGCGUAGGCGGGUCUUUAAGUCAGGGGUGAAAUCCUGGAGCUCAACUCCAGAACUGCCUUCGAUACUGGCGAUCUCGAGUCCGGAAGAGGUGAGUGGAACUCCUAGUGUAGAGGUGGAAUUCGUAGAUAUUAGGAAGAACACCAGUGGCGAAGGCGGCUCACUGGUCCGGUACUGACGCUGAGGUGCGAAAGCGUGGGGAGCAAACAGG